UCCCUCGAUCGAAAUCUCAGAUCAGAUCGGAUCGUGGCGGCCGGCGGCGCCACGACAGGUUGUCGGCCUGCAGUCCUCCUCACGGGACAAGCUGCGUUCACGGUGCGCUCUCGCUGCCCGCCGGCUUCGACGGUGUGGGCCGGGGCGCCGCCCUUCCGCAGAUCCGCAAUUGAGUCGUGCGUCCGGUCUGCCGCCUCCCCUCGACGUCCACGGCUCUGUGCUCUUCCGUGUUCUCUCCUAGCGCAGGCUGCGGGGGCACUACGCCGCUAUCUUCCGGCUCCUCAUACAAGAGCGAUGGACAAACUGAGCCCUGUGGGAAACAAUUGCAUCAGCUCAGCGACGUCCAGCGUUUCUCCUCUCUACGUUUCUUUGCACGCCUCAUCUCCAAGCACGAAGCCACGGCGAAAUGUGGGUCAUCAGCCUAAGGCAACAAGCCAAGAAUCGUGAGGGGAGGGAAUUUGACAUCAUAAAUGACUAUCUCUAGGUCUGGUCUUGGUACUAUGUUGAUAGCAAGGGUGCAAGGCUCAAGGGAAUCAGCCGGUUCUGUAGUUCUUUGUAUGCUUAUGGUAUCUUGGAUGAGGGUUACAAAUCCAACAUAUCAGUUGAGGAAGCUGCUGAGUUAGCAUGGCGGGCUUUUAUCACACACUAUUCUGUGACAGAGCUAGUGGUGGCUGUGUUCCUGGUGGGCUUGACAGACCAGUUUUUAUCCGGAAGGAAGGCCUUUAGCGUGCGUUUGGAUCUGAAGAAACAAAGCAAGAUAUGGCUGUCAUUCCUCCUAACUUGGCUAGUUACUAGUAUCUCCUUGAUCCUUUGAUGAGGUAGUCUUGGCGAGUGUUUGGGCAAUAGAGAACAUAACUUGGCAAUUUCUGUACAGGUUUACCGUAUCCAUUUAUUCAGGACUAGGAGCUGAAAUUCUGAAUUUUAUAGUUCAGGAGUAACUACCUCCUGAUGUACCGGUGGAAUUUAAUAGUUUCAUCGAAUGUGAAUCAGAGUAUAUGUUGUUAAUAUAGUUGGGUAUACAUAUCAUGCCAUCUUUCUUUUCUAAGGUGUUUGAUGAGUUCAAUGCAAUGAAACAGAUGAGCUGAACAUAUUCAAGGUU